rnacentral:lncRNA from 1 species
UUCGAUGAGUAAUUAAUUUAAUAUUAUAGCAAGUCGCAACUAACACUAUAUUGGUUAAUUUUCCAUUUUUUUUUUUUUUUUUUGAUGAUGUUAAUUUUCCAUCUUUGAAACAUGGACGAUGGCGAAAUAUGGAUGAUUUAAUUAUUGCACAUUUUCGAAAUUUGGUGUGAGCAUUUAUUUUGCUGAGAUGGCAUGGGGUAUAGCUUCUCUUCUCGUCCACAAAUUCACAUGUGUUGUAUUUUUUUUUCUUNUUUUAUUGGAGUUAAUAUAAUAUUAUUUUCUUGAGAAUAUAGGGUGGCCAGCGCAACAAUAUAAUAACAAUUAAAUAGGCUAAACGACCCACCAACCCCC